GACGAACGCUGGCGGCGUGCUUAACACAUGCAAGUCGAACGGAAAGGCCCUGCUUUUGUGGGGUGCUCGAGUGGCGAACGGGUGAGUAACACGUGAGUAACCUGCCCUUGACUUUGGGAUAACUUCAGGAAACUGGGGCUAAUACCGGAUAGGAGCUCCUGCUGCAUGGUGGGGGUUGGAAAGUUUCGGCGGUUGGGGAUGGACUCGUGGCUUAUCAGCUUGUUGGUGGGGUAGUGGCUUACCAAGGCUUUGACGGGUAGCCGGCCUGAGAGGGUGACCGGCCACAUUGGGACUGAGAUACGGCCCAGACUCCUUCGGGCGGCAGCAGUGGGGAAUAUUACACAGUGGGCGGAUGCCUGUUGCAGCAGCGCCGCGUGCGGGAUGACGGCCUUCGCGUUGUAAACCGCUUUCGCCUGUGACGAAGCGUGAGUGACGGUAAUGGGUAAAGAAGCACCGGCUAACUACGUG
rnacentral:rRNA from 1 species